rnacentral:rRNA from 1 species
GUGAACGCUGGCGGCGUGCCUAAUACAUGCAAGUCGAGCGAACGGACGAGAAGCUUGCUUCUCUGAUGUUAGCGGCGGACGGGUGAGUAACACGUGGAUAACCUACCUAUAAGACUGGGAUAACUUCGGGAAACCGGAGCUAAUACCGGAUGAUAUUUUGCACCGCAUGGUUCAAAAGUGAAAGACGGUCUUGCUGUCACUUAUAGAUGGAUCCGCGCUGCAUUAGCUAGUUGGUAAGGUAACGGCUUACCAAGGCAACGAUGCAUAGCCGACCUGAGAGGGUGAUCGGCCACACUGGAACUGAGACACGGUCCAGACUCCUACGGGAGGCAGCAGUAGGGAAUCUUCCGCAAUGGGCGAAAGCCUGACGGAGCAACGCCGCGUGAGUGAUGAAGGUCUUCGGAUCGUAAAACUCUGUUAUUAGGGAAGAACAUAUGUGUAAGUAACUGUGCACAUCUUGACGGUACCUAAUCAGAAAGCCACGGCUAACUACGUG